rnacentral:rRNA from 1 species
GCUCCAGUAGCGUAUGCUAACGUUGUUGCGGUUAAAAAGCUCGUAGUUGGAUUUCUGGUUCGGCGUACCUGGUCCUCGGCUCCUAGUGGGCCGUGAGUACCGGUUGUGACGCUAGCCAUCCUUCGGGAGAGUGAGCGCGGCGCUUAACGGCGCUGCGCCGCCAUCUCGAUCUUUUACUUUGAACAAUUAGAGUGUUUAAA